rnacentral:rRNA from 1 species
UACGAAGGGGGCUAGCGUUGCUCGGAAUCACUGGGCGUAAAGGGUGCGCAGGCGGUUGGGUGUGUCAGAUGUGAAAUCCCGAGGCUCAACCUCGGAACUGCGUCUGAAACUACUCGACUAGAGUACUGGAGAGGGUAACGGAAUUCACGGUGUAGCAGUGAAAUGCGUAGAUAUCGUGAGGAACACCAGAGGCGAAGGCGGUUACCUGGACAGUUACUGACGCUCAGGCACGAAAGCAUGGGGAGCAAAAGGG